rnacentral:rRNA from 1 species
AUUGAACGCUGGCGGCAGGCCUAACACAUGCCAGUCGAGCGGAUGAAGGGAGCUUGCUCCUGGAUUCAGCGGCGGACGGGUGAGUAAUGCCUAGGAAUCUGCCUGGUAGUGGGGGAUAACGUCCGGAAACGGGCGCUAAUACCGCAUACGUCCUGAGGGAGAAAGUGGGGGAUCUUCGGACCUCACGCUAUCAGAUGAGCCUAGGUCGGAUUAGCUAGUUGGUGGGGCAAAGGCCUACCAAGGCGACGAUCCGUAACUGGUCUGAGGGGAUGAUCAGUCACACUGGAACUGAGACACGGUCCAGACUCCUACGGGAGGCAGCAGUGGGGAAUAUUGGACAAUGGGCGAAAGCCUGAUCCAGCCAUGCCGCGUGUGUGAAGAAGGUCUUCGGAUUGUAAAGCACUUUAAGUUGGGAGGAAGGGCAGUAAGUUAAUACCUUGCUGUUUUGACGUUACCAACAGAAUAAGCACCGGCUAACUUCGUG